GACCUAAUUGCGAGGUGGUAUCGCGUCCGUAUUUCAUUAGAAUACAAUGUAGUGGUGUAUGCGGAAGUUUCCUGUUCGAUUCGGGGUUGGGUCC